UACAGAGGGUGCGAGCGUUAAUCGGAAUUACUGGGCGUAAAGCGUGCGUAGACGGUUAUUUAAGUCGGGUGUGAAAGCCCCGGGCUCAACCUGGGAAUUGCAUUCGAGACUGAAUAGCUAGGGUACGGUAGAGGGAAGCGGAAUUUCCGGUGUAGAGGUGAAAUUCGUAGAUAUCGGGAGGAACACCAGUGGCGGAGGCGGCUCUCUGGACAGAUACUGACACUGAGAUGCGAAAGCGUGGGAAGCAAACAGG
rnacentral:rRNA from 1 species